GACGAACGCUGGCGGCGUGCUUAACACAUGCAAGUCGAACGGAAAGGCCCUGCUUUUGUGGGGUGCUCGAGUGGCGAACGGGUGAGUAACACGUGAGUAACCUGCCCUUGACUUUGGGAUAACUUCAGGAAACUGGGGCUAAUACCGGAUAGGAGCUCCUGCUGCAUGGUGGGGGUUGGAAAGUUUCGGCGGUUGGGGAUGGACUCGCGGCUUAUCAGCUUGUUGGUGGGGUAGUGGCUUACCAAGGCUUUGACGGGUAGCCGGCCUGAGAGGGUGACCGGCCACAGUGGGACUGAGAUACGGCCCAGACUCAUACGGGAGGCAGAAGUGGGGAAUAUUGCACAAUGGGCGGAAGCCUGAUGCAGCAACGCCGCGUGCGGGAUGACGGCCUUCGGGUUGUAAACCGCUUUCGCCUGUGACGAAGCGUGAGUGACGGUAAUGGGUAAAGAAGCACCGGCUAACUACGU
rnacentral:rRNA from 1 species